GAGAAAGACUUUUUCCUUUUUGAGCACCUCUUUGGACCAUUUACAUUCAUUGACAGCUCAGAAGAAUCCAACAGUUCCUGGAGUUUGGCAACAUUUCAUGGUGGAGAGAAAAGCAUCCCAAGGAUCUGUACAUAAAUAGCUGGUGCACAUCGGUCUCAGGUGUAAACAGAAGGAAGUCCAACCCAGAGAGGAGUGAGGAGCGCUGAUGCCUGUGGAAGCAGUGGCAGGAGGGACUGGACAUCAGUUGGCCAUCUGGGAAUGUGUGUGAUGCCUGUGGUUGUGGCAUGGUGUGUUGGAGAGGAUGAAUGCAAGCCUGGCUGUACCCAUGGCCCAGCAAGGAAGCCAAGUGGGAAGAUCCUUGCUGGUUUCUCCCUCUGAGGAAGAAGGAAAAUGCCAUGACUCCCACUAUGGCCUCUCUUGGAACCAUAUUUUGAGGUACCCUACUUCCUUCUUGAGUGUCAGCAGAGCAACUGUGGGACUGGCAUGAGAUUUGGUCAUUUCUAGGAGAGCGAAUGCCUUUUGCCUCUUUGAUGAGAAAACUAGACGAGACAUUGUUUAGAAAUUCUUGAGCUCAGACUUUGGCAUUAUGACAACGUGCAUUCAAAUCUGCCCCAGCCACUUGCGAGCUGGGACCUAAAGCCGUGAGCUUCUGGUUGUUUAUCUAUAACAAGCGGAUCCCAGUACCUACCUCAUAGGGCUGCUGCGAGGAUUAAAAUAAAAUGCAUCUAUCAGCGGGAAGGCGGGGGACCCGGGACUUCCAAGUGCACAAGAUCCAAAUCAAUGUCCUUCCGGGAGAAUUUCUUAAAAUCUUGUUUUCUCUCGUUGUCUUCGGAAGAAGCCCGACAUUUCUUAUAGGAAAUGGAACUCUUCAUAAGGUCGCCCCGACCCCUCCUCCCUGACCUGGGAAGACGCGCGCAGUCCCCGACCAGAGGACCUCAGACACAACUGGCCUGAGCUCCGGACUCCGGGGACAGCGCGUCCUGUCCCGAGGGCCUCCCGCCCCCCGGGAAGGCCAAGGUCAUGAGGUCAAACCCCAACUUUUGGGCUUCCGCGAGAGUAAAGCCCCCGGAUGGUCCUCGGAGCUGUGACGUCACAAAAAGUGCUUGGUCUAACCCUGACGGAGGGGUUGAUACUGUACCUGGAAGGUCUGGUUUCCCGCAGAAUCCAGCCUCUGUCCACGUGAACUCUGCUCUGUCCUCUGGGCUCAUAAUGUUCUGAGACUCUUGCUGCCUCUUUCAUGGAUUCCCCUUCUAUUUCCCUGAGACGACUCACAGGUCACAGAAAGCUGCCUCCCAUCCUUGCGGCUCCAUCAAGGUGCUUUGGAGGCAGGUAAAGCGCAACAUAUUCAUAUGCUCUUGUUCCUUCUCAAAUAAUUCCAUCACUAAUACACAUUCCUUGCUGCUGCUUCCUGCUUUCGCUUUUGAAGUGCCCUUCCAUCCACUCCUCAGCUCUAUUCCCUGCAUAUCUCUAGGAGGCUGUGAGGGGAAGGAAUUAUUCUCUUUGUUUUCCACCUAAAGAAACAGAAGCUCUGGCAAUAGUCGGCUGCUUGCUCAAGGUGACACAGUUAAUGGAGAGGCAGAUCUCUGGAUGCGGCGUCUCAGGGGCCACGCCUGCCUCCCCCGCCGCCGCGCGCAUACACAGAAUUCCUCAUGCUGCUGCUAUCACGGAACUCAGGGGUUUGGCUGACUUUGUCUACUAGGAGCAGAGAACAAAGUGUGACUUGAACCAUGCACGGUUCAUCUCAAAGAUCUCUCUUUGCAUAAUGUGUGUGUGGACCUGCCUACAGAUACAUUGGGUGGAAGCCCUAGGAGCCUCAAGCAAGUCUGAAGAUUGGCCCUGAGAACCACUGUUCUCAUUAUCAGCAAGGAUUUUAUCCAGAGACCUCUAGGAAUACAUUCACUAAAAUGUGACUGUGGUCCUGUGGUUGUAUGAACUCUGGCUCUUCUCGUGAAUUACAUUUCACUGGAGUCAGGUGUUUUCUGUAAACAUCGUUAAACCACGAGACCAACUGCAUUGAACAUUUUUUGCACUACAUUGUUUUAUUUCUUGCUCGUCUUUUCCUUGCAGAGCUGGGGCUGGGGUGAGGUGUGUGGUGUACCUAGCACUCAAAAUGUAAGGAUUCUCAGAGUCAUACAGGUGCACGGUCAGCACCUGAGAGUGAGCCACCCUUUAACAUUUUGCCUUCUAGGUGCUUCACUUGCCUUGCCCAAGCACUAGCCCUAGAUUAAAUAAUAUGUUUCUAUUAGUUUUUUAAAAUUAUAAUAUUAACAAUAACUAGCACUUAUUGAGCACUCCCUUAUGUGCCAGCAAAUGUGACUUACAUGUAUCUGCUUAUUUUUCCUUACAUGAAACCCUCUGAAGUAGAUACAAUGGGUAUCAACUGAUUUUGGUAGCAUCCUUUGGUCUCUUCUAGUCUGGGAGUCAGAGAAAGUUUGCAUCAAAAUGUCAUCAGGGAUUCAUUUCCAUCAUUUCAAGCAGGGUCAUCUUGGAACAGGACACAGGAUAGCUACUCCCUUCCUAGCAGAACCUUGAUUAGGUCGAGGUUUAAACAGCAAUGUGUCAAGGCAGGUGGACCAGGAGGAUCCUAAGGGAGGGAACUUGAUUGAUCUGGGCCAAUCGUAACACUCUUGAACAUCCCUUGGUCAGCAAUUGGCUUAGAGGUGGGCAUCCUAAACUUGGCAUAUGAGAAAGACAGUAGGAAUUUGCUGGGCGCUCUUGGGAAAUAUUGCAUAAAACAAUUCAUCAAAAUUGGCCUUUCCUUUUUGCCUUGACUUGCCAUGUAAGAAGUAAUGCCUAAUGCUGCGACAGACAAAUUGCAACCAUCAGGGAAAGCCAGGAGACUCUGAGAGAGACCAAUUAUUGAGCUGAUGAAUGAACCCUUCCUGAAGCCACCUACUUCCUCACUUAUUGGUGUGUCCUUACUGUGUAAACCCCUUUUAACUGGGUGUUUUGUUUCUUGCAGCCAAAAACAAUCCAUUGAUACACUUGGUGACAUUAAUUGAGAAAAAAACAAUAUGGUCUGGCCAUGGAGGCAUGGUAUCCGUAACAUCCCCCAAAGGAGCUAAAGAAGAAAUCCACAAUUUACCAUGAGCAUUUCUCGUCUGAAGAUUGCCAAGCGAUUCCUCCAGGACAUUCCUCAAGGACUCAUGUUCUUAGGCAAAUGCUUUGGGGAAUGUGGCAGUGAUGUAUGUGCUGGGGAAACACAGAGGCAAGCAUGGAUGAAAAUCACUGUGGAAUAUUGAAGAAGGCUUCCAAGAGGAGGUGACAUUUGAGCUUGAUCGUGAACACGAAGUAAGGACAGAACUAGGAGCUCAACUAGAGGAAGAGGCAAAUGGUAUACUAGUGUAGACUGUGUUAAUGUGUAGACAACUGAAAGAAGUGGCAUAUUUGGGAAGCUUUAGGAUGUCCAUGGUGAAAAGUACCUACGAACAAGAGGUGAUCAAUUUCUGUUCAUCCACCUUGUCCUGGGAGGGACAUCAAUGGGUUUCCAUGUCCUUUGGCUUCUGGUUGAGUUCACUCAGUGGAGAACCCUGGCAAGAGGCAGGAAAAGGGGAGGAAGGUAAGAUCGGCUUUAUGAUACAUGUGUUGAAUGUGCAGGUUCGUUACAUAGGUAAAUGUGUGGCAUGGUGGUUUGCUGCACCUAUCAACCCAUCACCUAGGUAUUAAGCCCUGCAUGCAUUAGCUAUUAGUCCUGAUGCUCUCCCUCCCCCGCACCCCCUAGCAGGUCCCUGGUGUAUGUUGUUCCACUCCCUGUGUUCAUGUAUUCUCAUUGUUCAACUCCCACUUAUGAGUGAGAACAUGCAGUGUUUGAUUUUCUGUUCCUGUGUCAGUUUACUGAGGAUACUGGCUUCCAGCGUCAUCCACGUCUCAGUAUAGGACAUCAUCUCAUUCCUUUUUAUGGCUGCAUAGUAUUCCAUGGUGUAUAUGUAUCACAUUUUUCUUUAUCCAGUCUACCAUUGUGGGCAUUUGGGUUCAUUCCAAGUCUUUAAUAAGGGUUUGGUCUUACCUGAUUUAUGUUAGAAGGAAACCAUUUGUUUGGAAUGAAUAGAGUAAAUCUUUUGGGAAAAUAGAAAAAAAGAUUAUUUUAAAAUCAUGUGAAUAUUUAGGUCUAAGAGUUGUCCAUGAAUCCUUAGCUCAGUGUUCAUAGAUCCCUACAAACAAGAUCUAUGAAUAGAAUUCUUGGAAUCCUUAAGUUAGGAUAGGAAAAAAUUACAUCUUUAUUUUUUCUAACCUCUAUUUGAAAUGUAGUAUUUCUUUCCAUCACAAGUGUAUGUGACAAGACACAAUAGUGUUGGUCAUUACUAAGGCUUUAUCACCGACAAAAAUCAUAGGUAUUUUUAUAUCACACUGCAGUGUUGUAAAAAUCUCAAGAUAUCAUCUAUACUCUUCACUGCUUCGAAAUUAUGGUAGUUGGUAGACCCACCUUCAGGUCUUGUUAUUGGCGGCAUUAAUAAGGAAGUGUAUAUGUUAUGUUUCACAAUUUUAUUUUCUAAAUACUUUCAGAUUGCAACUGCAUUUCCAUAUAAUUUAUUUUAUAAUUCGUUGUGUUUCAAGUUAUGCAUUUACACAUGUAAUUCUAAAAAGAAGUCCAUAGACUUGACCACAUUUCCAAAAGAGUUCACAGUAAACAAAUUAUUAAAAAUCUCUGUUAAUUCAUAGAUACUCAUUCCAGAAAAUACAGCAAUGGCUGCAUAUCAGGAAUAUCUUUUUCCAGAAAAAAAAAUAUCCGAAGUUACUAGAUAUUCUGUAGUUUCUGUAUGUGGAGUUUCUGGGGUAAAUCCUUUGAGUUCAAUAUGUUGACUAUGUGCUAUGUCAUCUCAAAUAUUUGACCUUAUUCUGUUUUUCUUCUCUGGGUCAUUGUAUGUUUUGUAACUAGAUUUCCUAUUUGGUAUUUGUCUCCCAAAUUUUAAGAGCAAAACUUGUCAUCUAUCGCCUUAUUUUAAUUCUCACUAUGUAAACUUGUAAGAACUAACUCACAACUUGGUGUCUCAUAACUCACUUCUGAAAUAUCCAAUAAAAAACUGCCAAGUUGGUAUGUAGGACAUUUUUGGAUUACCAGAGGAUGUACCAGUCACCCAUAAGGAUGUUUGGUAUCAGGAAGAGGGCAGCCUGACCGGUUUGAAUUUCACCUUCUGUUCACCUUGGAUGAGAGCAGUAAUCAUCACGAUCCCAGGGAACAGCCAAAGGAAGAGAAAAGGCAAAAGAUUUGGACAAGACUCAUGAAGACUAACAGCUCUUGGAUAAUUGAGAGAAGGCAGCUGCGUGAACAGUUUUGAUGCAAUCAUGAAGGCAGGGCCCAGUGCCUGUGGCAUCUGCCUUUUUCUGGAACCAAUCCAUAUUUCCUUGUGGUUUUCUAAGGUGCAGAGAGGGCACAUUGGGAACUUUGCUUGGGGUCUUUUUCACAUCUUAGAGGGAAGGUCCCUCAACAUCUGCAUUGGCGGAGUGUGAUCCUCAUGUCCCUCUGAAUGAUCUGGACUUGAGGUAACCAGCCCCUUCCAGGAAGCUGUCCCAUGAGUGAAGCCUCAGCAGCAGCCUCUGUCAGUCCCUCCCCCACAGAACCUUUGGCUUCCAUUUGACCAGCCUUGACAUCCAGUGUCCAAACACCGAUAAAAUUGAUUCCACUAAGCGUGGGAAAGUCCUGGAGCAUCGAUUGUUUCCUCCUCUGCACCCCCGAUACCCUGGCAUUAGCACUCUCCCAGAAUGUACCUUGCUUGUUUGAUUGGAGGAGGUCAAAGCCCUGAUGAAGAAUGAGUGGAAUUCCACAGGAUUGGAGCAGUCUUGAUAAAUGACAGCAGGGGAUGGUGUGGGGAGGGGAAAGGAUCAGAGGAAGUGUGGAUAAAUGAAUGGCUUAAAAAAUAAUCCACCUUUGCCUCCCCCUUUUCUACCAGUCUGUCUAGUGCUUCAGGGUGAAAAAAAAAAAAAAAAGCUUGCCUUUCUAAACAUUUGGAGUUUCAGAAAUGAUCUAUAGAGCAUGUUUAGUUUUUCAAGUUAAAAAUAUUAAAAGAAAAAAAAUGUUUGAGGGCUUUACUGCUUUCCCGCAAAGAGCUAGAGCCACCCAAGCAGGAUUGACUGUCAUUGGUUUGAGGUUUCUGUUUGCUUUGAGGCUAUUUUUUCCUUAGUGCUAUAAACUAGAUCAGUCCAUUUUUAGCUGAUAACCCUUUCCAAUUUCGCUGUGAAAUGAGGGGCUGGUUGGGUGGUUUUUUUUUAUGUUCUUUCCAGCGUUGACUUUUAUGGUCUUUGAUUCCAAGGUACCUCGUCGACUCUGAAGACGAGAGAUGGGUAGGUUCUAACUCCAGAUGAGCCACUGCAAGAUGGUACCAGGAUGAGAUAGAGAGUCUCUGUACUAUCUUUUAUAUGUUCUCAAACCCAGCCAGGGAUCAGAGUGACAAUAUAACAUGGGGAAUCAUAGAGAUGUUUAUGGUAAUUCUGCUAUGAGUCAACUGAGAUGUCCCUUAUGGAGAUAACUUCCCAUACUAUAGGCAGUUGGACAAAGAUGUAAAUGCCUUGUUUACAAAUGCUACCCAGAUCUCCUAAUUAGGACCACACAUGCGGAGAACCCAACAGCUUUUGGACUUAUCGGCCAAUGGUCUUCUUGGGAAGGUCUCUCCUAGUCAUGGGAAUUGUCUUUUUAUUGUUCAAGCUUUUGCAUAGACCUGGAAGAGGCAUCCAUUGCUGUUACCCCUGAGUUUAUAAUCAUGCUGCAAGUCCAGUGGGGAACUUUGGCACAAAGCAUUGAAUGAGAUGGGACUGCACUUAUGUAGCCUGCAUUUCUUGAGAAUAAAGAUUUCUGUUCAUUUAGUGCAGUGGUUAUCAUCUGGGGGAAAACCAGUGAGUAGAGGCCAGGGAUGCCACUAAAAUCCCUACACUGUGCAGGAAAGCUGUCAGCCCUUUGUCCCACAAGAGAUUAACUGGUUCCAAAAGUCAGUAGUGCUGUGGUUGAGAAACCCUGUUUACCACCUGUAGGUUCCAGAGAGCUCGGAUGGUGGUGGUCAUUGUGCUAAGUUUCAAAUUCAGUAUUUAGGUUUGGUUUUUAGCUUAUAGGCAACAAAUUGGCUGACUAUGGGGUGAAAAGGAAGCACCUCCUUUAUCAAGAUUGGCUUCAAAAGAUGUCUGCCUCCCCUUCUGGUGGGUCCUGUGUCCAUUCACAGUGUGAGAAAUGGAAAGGAGGUCACUAAGAGACUUGCAAUGGAUGUAAUAACUGGAUGCAGAAACUCUGGAUCUGAAGGGAAUGUUCAUGACUAUUUCAUCCCUCCUGCUGCCUUGGAGAACCAAACGCAGGAGCCACCCAAGGUGAAAACCAUCCAUUUCUUGGAGAAGUGCCACGGUGGGGUUGCAAGUCCCAGGAUCAAGUUUUCGAUGUGUCUCUUUUUCCCGUAAAGUGGCUGAAAUCUGAAGCUGAAUCUGCAAGUGUCAUGGAGUCAUUGAAUCUCACAGUCUCAACUGAUAAAAGUUAUUAAAGGUCGUCUGGUUCAGCCUUCU
rnacentral:lncRNA from 10 species